GACGAACGCUGGCGGCGUGCUUAACACAUGCAAGUCGAACGGUGACGCUGGAGCUUGCUCCAGCUGAUCAGUGGCGAACGGGUGAGUAACACGUGAGCAACCUGCCCUUGACUCUGGGAUAACCCCGGGAAACCGGAGCUAAUACCGGAUACGAACCGCACAGGCAUCUGCGUGGUUGGAAAGAUUUAUCGGUCAAGGAUGGGCUCGCGGCCUAUCAGCUUGUUGGUGGGGUAACGGCCCACCAAGGCGACGACGGGUAGCCGGCCUGAGAGGGCGACCGGCCACACUGGGACUGAGACACGGCCCAGACUCCUACGGGAGGCAGCAGUGGGGAAUAUUGCACAAUGGGCGAAAGCCUGAUGCAGCGACGCCGCGUGAGGGAUGAAGGCCUUCGGGUUGUAAACCUCUUUCAGCAGGGAAGAAGCGAAAGUGACGGUACCUGCAGAAGAAGCACCGGCUAACUACGUGCCAGCAGCCGCAGUAACAC
rnacentral:rRNA from 1 species